AGACGUCUACAUUAGAUACCCGGGUAGUCCCAGCCGUAAACUAUGCGCGUUAGGUGUAUCGGUGACCACGAGUCACCGAGGNGCCGAAGGGAAACCGUGAAACGUGCCGCCUGGGAAGUACGGUCGCAAGGCUGAAACUUAAAGGAAUUGGCGGGGAGCACCACAACGGGUGGAGCCUGCGGUUUAAUUGGACUCAACGCCGGGAAGCUCACCGGAUAAGACAGCGGAAUGAUUGCCGGGCUGAAGACUCUGCAUGACUAGCUG
rnacentral:rRNA from 1 species